rnacentral:rRNA from 1 species
UGCAGUCUAAGGAGAAUUUCGGAGCAAUCUGAAAGGACACUGGCGCACGGGUGAGUAACGCGUAGGUAACCUACCUUCUGCUGGGGGAUAACAUCGGGAAACCGGUGCUAAUACCGCAUAAAGCAACAGUCACGCAUGUGGCAGUUGUUAAAGAAUUUCGGCAGAAGAUGGGCCUGCGUGUCAUUAGUUAGUUGGUAAGGUAACGGCUUACCAAGACGAUGAUGACUAGGGGGUCUGAGAGGAUGAUCCCCCACACUGGAACUGAGACACGGUCCAGACUCCUACGGGAGGCAGUAGUGAGGAAUCUUGCGCAAUGGGGGAAACCCUGACGCAGCCACGCCGCGUGCCAGAUGAAGGCCCUACGGGUCGUAAAUGGCUUUUGGUCGGGAAGAUAAGCCGGGUUUCGACCUGGUGUGACGGUACCGACUGAAUAAGCACCGGCUAACUCCGUGCCAGCAGCCGCGGUAAUACGGAGGGUGCAAGCGUUGUCCGGAAUCAUUGGGUGUAAAGGGUGCGUAGGCGGAUGCCUAAGUCUGGGGUGAAAUCUUGCAGCUUAACUGUAAAAUUGCCUUGGAUACUGGGUGUCUUGAGUACAGAAGAGGAUGGUGGAAUUCGUAGUGUAGCGGUGAAAUGCAUAGAUAUUACGAAGAACACCGGUGGCGAAAGCGGCCAUCUGGUCUGUUACUGACGCUGAGGCACGAAAGCGUGGGGAGCGAACAGGAUUAGAUACCCUGGUAGUCCACGCCGUAAACGAUGUGUGCUAGUUGUUGGUCUGUAUGGGCCAGUGACGUAGUUAACGCGCUAAGCACACCACCUGGGGAGUACGUUC